UUCCUCCUCCCGCCCCGGCCGCGCUGCUGGAGGAAGAGGAAACUCCCCGGCAGGGCGGCGGCCCUCCCGCGCGGGUUGCCGGGCCAGGGCGGGCUCCGCCCGGGGCAAGGAAGCGGUCGAGGAUGCCUGGUUUGCCAUAAUGGUCCAGAAAACACAAGGGCCUUGGGAAUGAUUCCUAUGGCUGGAUUCUAGCAAGCGUGUCUGGACUUCAGCAAAAUGAGGAAUUGCCUUGUUUAUCUCCUUCCUUUCAGAGUCUGCAUUCAGAGGUUACCCCAGAUCGGUCCUUCACUAUUGUGAGCUUUCAUCGUCUCCGCAGUCAGUUUUUGAUGCUGGUUAAGAUACCAGAUGUUGAUAUAAAGUUUAAAGUGCCCAGCUAACUCCUUCUCUUCGACUUUUCUGACCAAACCUUUAUGAAGAAUUUGAGCUAAAAUGAACACUGAAAAUUUAUCAAAUCAUUCUGUCCUAUUACAAAUAUACUCCAAACUGACGACAUACUCUUGUAAUGGCAUGGCUCCAGUAGGCACACUGUUCUUACAGGACCUGAAGUCACAGCACAUUAGGAAAUAGAAAUGGCUUUUAAAAAUUCUCCUGAUUCUAGCUUUAGAAGCGAACAAAGAAAAAAAGAAUCUAUCUUUCUUGAAAUUACUUUUGCUGUUCCUUUGGAAGUUAGUGCUGAACAAAACAAUAAUCCUCUACUUGAUAACCACAAAUGUUGCCAUUUGGACUCCAUUCAUGUGAAUGAAUGAGAAACACAGUGUCCCAAGCACUGUUCCCACAUGGAGGAGAUAUGAGGGAUGUAUCCUGUGUACUUACAAAGCCUUUUUUCUGUGAACAGGAGGAAGCAAUUAAAAAAUUAUCUGCUCCUCACCAUAAAAACUCCUCUGCUGCCCAGAUGUGUUUUUUGCACGUAUUUCUCGGAGGCAUGCUGCAAUACUGGUUCAGGCUAUGAGCUAAGUUUUCAUUACCCUCUGGGUUUUUUUGGCCCUUUUCUUCCUAUCCCUUCUC